CGAACGGUAACAUAAAGAAGCUCGCUUCUUUGAUGACGAGUGGCGGACGGGUGAGUAAUGCUUGGGAAUCUAGCUUAUGGAGGGGGAUAACUACGGGAAACUGUAGCUAAUACCGCGUAAUAUCGAAAGAUUAAAGUGUGGGACCUUCGGGCCACAUGCCAUAGGAUGAGCCCAAGUGGGAUUAGGUAGUUGGUGAGGUAAAGGCUCACCAAGCCGACGAUCUCUAGCUGGUCUGAGAGGAUGACCAGCCACACUGGGACUGAGACACGGCCCAGACUCCUACGGGAGGCAGCAGUGGGGAAUAUUGCGCAAUGGGGGCAACCCUGACGCAGCCAUGCCGCGUGAAUGAAGAAGGCCUUCGGGUUGUAAAGUUCUUUCGGUAGCGAGGAAGGCAUUUAGUUUAAUAGACUAGAUGAUUGACGUUAACUACAGAAGAAGCACCGGCUAACUCCGUGCCAGCAGCCGCGGUAAUACGGAGGGUGCGAGCGUUAAUCGGAAUAACCGGGCGUAAAGGGCACGCAGGCGGACUUUUAAGUGAGGUGUGAAAGCCCCGGGCUUAACCUGGGAAUUGCAUUUCAGACUGGGAGUCUAGAGUACUUUAGGGAGGGGUAGAAUUCCACGUGUAGCGGUGAAAUGCGUAGAGAUGUGGAGGAAUACCGAAGGCGAAGGCAGCCCCUUGGGAAUGUACUGACGCUCAUGUGCGAAAGCGUGGGGAGCAA
rnacentral:rRNA from 1 species